rnacentral:lncRNA from 1 species
GUUUAAUUCAAUGCCACCAUCCUAAGCAGAUGGUGGUCAUUCCACACCUUUAGCUGCCUUGUAGCCCCUCAGCCAUGUUUGUCCCAUAGAGCAUCACUAACCAACAGCUCACUUUGGACUCCUCAUAGCAGAAGUACAGUAGGGGACAGCAAGUGUCAGUUCUGUCAUGGCCCCUGAUAUAAUUAUUUACUGUGCAACCAUUGUCCUGAGUCAGGAGCAUAGAUGAGGGUAGAAUGAGUGUGGCUGGUAUGGCUUCCUGAUUACAUUCUGGGGAAGAUCUUGCCUAGAGAAGAUCUGCUAGAGAAGGAGGCAAGACACUGAUAAUGAAGACUAUAGUAGACUGAAUUACUCUCUGAGAUGAGGAGUUUGCUCUUGCCAUUUCAUAACCACUGGUGGCAGUUUUCGUCUUGCUUACAAGCUCUCCAGUUAUGCUCAGUAUUUCCAUGACAUCCCAAGACAUGCGGGCCAUGCUGCCACAUCCCCCUGUUUAACAAGUGUGGAAACUGAUAAUGGACUUACAAUGGCUGAUGUACUAUUUAGUGGUACAGGUUCUAACGUUUUAUAUUGUGGACAUGGGAUACCCAGACUGAGAACCAAUGGCUCCAGUCUGCUUUAAACAUGGGUCUGUGCUCACACCAUCAAUCCCUACCCUCUGUGCUCACAAGUCCCGUGUGAGUAAUACUCCAAAUUAUUCUGUCUUGUUUUGCUCAAUGGCAUGCUCUAUCUUAUGAUAGAGUAGACAAUGUAUUGAGACAAGAAUGCCAGUCAUCUGACAAACAAAAUGCAACCACUCUUUGUCAUUUAAUUAGUGAUGAAUAGUUGUGUUGAUCAUCAAACGUGUAUAAUUGGAUGAGAAGAGGUGUAACACGGGCCAAUGAUGACGAGGUUUCGGGAUUAUAAGUCACGGCAGCAUAAGAUGCCUCAUGUGACCCUCCCAUGCAGGGGUUGCAAGUCAGGCAUGUGCAGCACACA